UUUUGUCCGGGACGAAAAUGNCUGUNCUAAUACAAUAAGCCCCGGACAGUUCCGUGCCAACAACCACCGGCAUACUACGUGCCCUCACCCGCGGUAAUAUUUCUGGUGCUANCGUUAAUCUNAAUUACUGGGCGUAAAGCGUGCGCAAGCCCUUAUCUCANACAGAUGUGAAAUCCCCGGGCUCAACCUGGGAACUGCAUUUGAGACUGNUUAGCUUNAGUNCGGUAAAGGGGGAUGGAAUUCCNCNUGUAACAAUGAAAUGGGUAAAUGCGCCNANGAACACCGAUNGCGAAGGCAAUCCCCUGGACCUGUACUGACACUCAUGCUCAAAANCCCGGGGAGCCAACACGAUUAAAUACCCUGGUANUCCACGCCCUAAACUAUGUCAACUGGUUGUUGGGUC
rnacentral:rRNA from 1 species